CCCAAGGAGCAAGAGAUUGCUUCUUUUUCUUUAGAAAAGUGGGUGAGAUUGGAUAGGGGAGGACGGGAGCAGCUGGGAGAUUGGAGGGGGGAAAAGAAAAUGAUAAGAGAAGGGAAGUGGCAGCAGAUUGGAGGGGGGGUUUUUGGGUAGAAAAAAAAAUAUGGGAAGGAAAAUCUUGAAGAGAGAAAAUGGGCAGCAGCUAGGGGAGAAGAAGGAAACCGGGCAGCACAUGCACUGGAGAGGAAAACCGGGCAGCACAUGCAUUGGAGAGGAAAACCGGGCAGCACAUGCAUUGGAGGAGAUUUUGGGCAGCACAUGCAUUGAAAGAAGAAAAAAAAUCUGGGGACAAGAGAGGAAACCGGGCACCAAAUAGACCUUUCUUCAACCUCUCGGCCUCUCUCUUUGUUUUCCAUCUCCGGGUUCUUAUUAUUGGAGCUUUGUUCUACCAUCUUCACCGCCAACCUGCCACCACUGAUCUUCAACCCGGAAUUUUUUUUAAAAAAAGAGUGAAACCAUCUUUUGAUCUUUGAAUGAAUAUUUUAGGCAAUGGGUUUUGUUGGUGGGCUCCCAAGGCAUUGACUUGUGGGUUUAAAUAGGUUCAUGUGGGCCUUAAGCCCUUUUCUUUUAGUUUGGGCCGGAUGGGUAAUGUUUGUUUGGGUCUCCUAGGUUGGGCUUUGCUGAAGCUGAAGGUUAUUUGGCACUUUUUUUUAUGGGCUUGAGAUGGAGCCCAAGGCUCUUUUAAUGAAUGGACAUGGGCCUUUUUUUUA